rnacentral:rRNA from 1 species
UACGGAGGGUGCAAGCGUUAUCCGGAUUUAUUGGGUUUAAAGGGUCCGUAGGCGGACUAGUAAGUCAGUGGUGAAAUCCUGCAGCUCAACUGUAGAACUGCCAUUGAUACUGCUAGUCUUGAAUUCGGUUGAAGUGGGCGGAAUAUGGCAUGUAGCGGUGAAAUGCUUAGAUAUGCCAUAGAACACCGAUUGCGUAGGCAGCUCACUAAGCCUGGAUUGACGCUGAGGGACGAAAGCGUGGGGAGCGAAC